AAGUGUUAAAAGUGUAAAAAGUGUAGAAAUUUGUUAAACUAGUGUGUUUGUUAACCGUACUUAUAUAGAUUACUUCUGGCAUCAUUGAUGUUUAGUCUCAUUGCGUGGGAUUGUGAUAAAAUAUCCCGCGCAAGCCGACUACGCAGUCUGCACUAUUCGAGCUGUUUCUAUUUGUUUAAUUAUCCACGCGUACGUUGACGAGCACCUCCUUGUCUAAACACUGCUGCCUGUUCAACUGGGCCCAAAAACACAUUCACACAUAAUAUCCUACUCCAUAAUGAUAACGGAGCUGGUGAUGAACCGGGUCCGGCAACUGUUCCUGGCGCUGAUCGGCGUGCUAAAGCGUGCGAUGUGCUGCUUUUCGCGCCGCCGGAAACUGUCGCUGGGUGAAUGCGAGGUGCUAAACACAGUCAGCGUCGACCGGGACCAAGGGCGUUUCAAGAACGUACCGGAGAAGGACUGGAACUCGUGGGACGAUUCGCCCAAGACUGUCGAGGAACACAUAGAGCGGUACCGGGAAACGCUGGCCCAGGUCCCGUCACCGGUGGAACCAAAGGCAGAGAUGGACUACUUUCAGGAUAUGGCUCCGCAGAUCUCGUCGCAGCCAAAGAUCUGCAUUGCUACCGACACCGAGCCGAGCGAUUUCAGCAGGUUAACGGCGAAAAUCGACAUUCCGGUCGUGAAUGAACUUGAGGAUUGGAACGAGGGUGAUAGGCACGGCUGGGACGAUGCGGAUGAAACGACGACCAAACAGUUAAUAAGGGAAACUAGGAAAGAGCUACGAGCGCAGCGAUACCAUAAUCGCCACCAGCCGGAAGCGUCCUACACAUGAGCAGCAUCGUAAUCAUUACCACCCAAGUGUCUGGUGGAAAAACGGUCCUUGGUUUUUCUGAGGUGAGAUAUGCGGAACGCCAGGUGCCGCAGGGAUGUCUGACACCAUGUACGAGUACGAAUGGAAAACCUCGUUGGGUAGUCAGAGAAGGUACUCGCAUAGCGAAAAGAACAAACGCCCCCGACGUCCUGAUUAGCACACGAAGAGCCAGACCAGACACAAGAUAUACCCGAACACACAAGACAGAGAGGAGAGAGAGAGAGAGAGAGAGAAAUAGAGAGAGAGACAGAGGGAGAAGUACACAAUAAAACAAAAUAAAACAAGUGCCGCUACCGCCGUAGCACAAAGCGUCUCUGGUGCAGUGAGCAAACGCUAAUGUUGUGGUGUUAAACAAAUGUCAUUGCACCACGUCACGUUCGUUAUUGCGUAAAGGAAACAACACGGAAAACACCCCGGUUACGGAAAAAUAUGAUAGCGUAUGUGAGGCGUGUGUGCAAUCAAAUGUUAAUCGGUGCCAAUCGCUGAUCGGGGUUUCUCGACGUUAGUUCGCGUUUGCGAUUUUGUGUGCGAUAUAGCGAAGCACGAGUGAAGAUGGUAGACUGCACGUGCUAAAGUAAAUAGAGCGAAAAAGAGUGACUUCACACACGUGGCAAGGAGAACACUUAGGGUUAAGGUUUUUCGUGCAGGAGGCACUGGGGCGUACCAGAACGCCAGUGUGACCACGAAGCUAGCCACGUUGGGUUGUUGUUUGUUAUUCUAUAUCCUGAUAGUUUUUCCAGCGCAGUUUGACAAGCGUCCGAGUGAUGCCGGUGGUGCGUGGUAGCAUCGCCACAGGUUAUCCUGCCGGAUCUACGCUCGGUGGAGGAAGCUGCCGGAAGAAUGAAGUAAAGUGAAACAAAUCCUCCCAGCCAUACGAGUAAACCACCCGCUAAAAUCCUUGCACAUUAAAGCUCUCGGUAGGAGCAACAAAUAAAUAAACAAAACAAUAGCAAACCAAAUCACGUAAAACUUACCAUCAGCUGAGAAGCAAAACAACUACAUCCAAAGACAAGCUAAACACAGUCCCACUAAGAACACACAAGGAAAAAGUUGUCGUAGUAAAAAUAAAAGUCAAAGGAAACAAGAGCAAGGGUAUCAUCUACCGUUGCAAACAAGAAACCCACAACAACAACUGCUACUACAAAAACAACAACAUGUCAACCAUGAACAGACUGUAAACAGAGGACAAAAGAGGGAGAGAAGGGGGAGGGAAGAUGAUAAGAAGAGGAACACCUCGUAAGUACAGCAGCUACUAAAGCAGCAACAGGAAACGAACCAUCGACGCUAAGAGAAAGUUUCAAAGGUAGCAGAAGCAAAAACCACACGGAUUCUGUACCCUCACGAACACGAAACAAUGAAACUCUUCUUCACCACUCCCACAAUAAUCUGCUCAAUAUUGCCCGAAACAGUUCCUCCACUGACAGCUGCACUGAGGGCGGCAUGUUCUGCGGCUAAAACCAGCGUCGCUGUAGUGCCUGCUCGUAUCGUCUGUUAGUGUCGGGAUCCUGCUCGCCGUCACUCCGGCACUUUCGGGUGCUGUUCCGUACCCUUUGCAAUACACUCUUUUCACAAUCG